rnacentral:misc_RNA from 1 species
GAUGAAGAACGCAGCGAAAUGCGAUAAGUAGUGUGAAUUGCAGAAUUCAGUGAAUCAUCGAAUCUUUGAACGCACAUUGCGCCCUUUGGUAUUCCUUAGGGCAUGCCUGUUCGAGCGUCAUUUAAACCUUCAAGCUAAGCUUGGUGUUGGGUGACUGUCCGCUUCACGGCGGACUCGCCUUAAAAUUAUUGGCGGCCGGUACAUUGGCUUCGAGCGCAGCAGAAACGCAAACUCGGGCCCGUCGUAUUGGCUCCCAGAAGCUAUCUUCACAAUUUUGACCUCGGAUCAGGUAGGGAUACCCGCUGAACUUAAGCAUAUCAAUAAGCGGAGGA